GUGGCUGUGGUUGUCUACAUGGUGUAAGUGUACAGCUGACACAACUACUCAUUCAUCAUACUCUGUCUGGUCAUAUGUGGCUGUGGUUGUCUACAUGGUGUAAGUGUACAGCUGACACAACUACUCAUUCAUCAUA